rnacentral:Y_RNA from 1 species
GGUCGGUCCAAUCAUAGUGGGUUAUUAUAACUUAUUCACAUUAGUGCCACUAAAGUUAGUAUACAUUCCCCCCACUGCUAAAUUUGAUUGGCUUUUU